CUUUUGGAGAGAUGUCCCAUGUGACCAGCUAUGUGAUGCAAUGUAGGUGAAGUUCUGUAGACUACCUAGUAGCAAGUCAGAUUUCACCACCAUUUCAUGAAAAAUAAUGUGUGGUACUCCCAACCUAUUGUACCUUAUCCAUUGCAGGUUACACUGCACUAGAUUAUCUCUGCCUGUAUCAAAGGCAAUCAUCUGGAACUAGCCAGCCAUUUUGUUUUUCCCCCUAAAGUUGAUCAGACUGAGUGAGGACAUUUGCCCCAUUUCAAUGAAGACAUUUCUGAUGGACAAACUGAUGUUUUUACAACAGACAAGAAUAACAUUUCAGCAUUAUGCCCACAACCAAAGCAUGUAUUUCAGUGGUCCAAACUCUACGUUUCCUUACUGUAGCCUAAUUCACAAUCAUGCCUCCGAGUCCGAGAUCAGAUGGUGAGUGUAAACAUCUCUUUCUAGCUGUCUGACAGCUUCUUCGACUGCGUUGUUUAGAGGGGAGGCGCUUCAUAUCUACCACCUAGGUUUUUGCUUCAGUACCGAAUGUUUUCUUGCGCGACACAGUUGCUGCGCGAACGUUGGAGAGCUGGCUGAAAACAUUUCAUUCGCAUGGAGUUCUCUCUCUGCUCACUUUGACAUUUUUGUGAUAUUGUUACAUAAUAAUUCAUUAAUAUUCUAUUUAUUUCCCACAAGGCUACGACUGUGUGAAUUCUCUGCUUUGCCUAAUGUUCAGAGUUUUAAUCAUCUGCAACCGCAUGCCUGGAGUGGUGUGUUAGCAACGCGCUUGAAAAAUCACCGCCUCAGGCAAAGUAAAGUGGUUUGGUAAAUCUCCUGCUGUCUGGUUCUGCUGUUCCAACAUGACCUCAGGCCUCUGAAGACCUUUCUGUUAUUCAUCCUCCUGCUCUCUCUGUACCAAUCUCCUGU
rnacentral:lncRNA from 1 species